CGAAGAGAAGGGCAAAGCUGAAAGGGUAGUGUGGCGCCAUGAGUUGAUGUCUCGUCUCUGACUGACAGCUGCAUUCUGUCAGCUGUCUGUCUGGUACUGGGUUGCAUAAUCUAUCCUGAUGGCUGGGACAGUGACGCGGUUCGGCGGAUGUGCGGCGAGCAGACAGACAAGUACAGCCUGGGGGCCUGCUCAGUGCGUUGGGCCUACAUCUUGGCUAUCAUGGGCAUCCUGGACGCUCUCAUCCUCUCCUUCCUGGCCUUUGUCCUGGGGAACCGGCAGAACGGACUCAUGACAGAAGAGCUGCUGGCUGAGAGCAAGGAGGCAGGCAACGCCUAAAGCAACUGUUUAGGUUCCUGAAUUUCUGUUUUCAUGAAGUAAGAGUCAACCCUCAACAUCAGCUUGGAGGAGGGAGGCCAUCCGUGUCCGGGAAGGAGAGGAACACCAUGGAAACAGCCAGCCUGCCUUUCACACCAUCAAAGCUCAUCCAUUUUGCUUGCAGUCCCUAAGUCAUCCCCAGCAUUUAGAUGUGGCCCAAUACACUUUGAUCCCCAUGUAUCGACUGACCUAACCCUUGCACAACAUUGAAUAGACCAAGGCAGGGGAACAGACUGUUAGUCCGUUGUGAAAUGUAUGGACUACCCUCUACCUCCCCGAGAAGGCACAGGGUUGACAUUGUACACCUACAGUAUACAAGCACAGACACACACACACACACACACACACACACGCACGCGCCAACUCACUUAUAUGCACAAACACGACUCAACACACACAUAGAGUACAUUCAAACAAAACAUUUACAAACUUUGUAAUUACAAGUAUUAAACUAUGUUAACACUUAGCUGUGUGUACCACCGUCACAAUGUGUGUCAUGUUUUAUUUGUGAAAAGAAGAAACUUCUCACUUUUAGAUAAUAUCGGGUUGAUGUAAAUCUGUUGUGUUUCAUAUGUAAAGUUUGACAAUGAAAUGGAAGUUUUAGUUACUAUCUUUGCUCACACACA